AGUAAUGUCUGGGAAACUGCCUGAUGGAGGGGGAUAACUACUGGAAACGGUAGCUAAUACCGCAUAACGUCGCAAGACCAAAGAGGGGGACCUUCGGGCCUCUUGCCAUCGGAUGUGCCCAGAUGGGAUUAGCUAGUAGGUGGGGUAAAGGCUCACCUAGGCGACGAUCCCUAGCUGGUCUGAGAGGAUGACCAGCCACACUGGAACUGAGACACGGUCCAGACUCCUACGGGAGGCAGCAGUGGGGAAUAUUGCACAAUGGGCGCAAGCCUGAUGCAGCCAUGCCGCGUGUAUGAAGAAGGCCUUCGGGUUGUAAAGUACUUUCAGCGGGGAGGAAGGAGUAAAGUUAAUACCUUUGCUCAUUGACGUUACCCGCAGAAGAAGCACCGGCUAACUCCGUGCCAGCAGCCGCGGUAAUACGGAGGUGCAAGCGUUAAUCGGAAUUACUGGGCGUAAGCGCACGCAGGCGGUUUGUUAAGUCAGAUGUGAAAUCCCCGGGCUCAACCUGGGAACUGCAUCUGAUACUGGCAAGCUUGAGUCUCGUAAAGGGGGGUAGAAUUCAGUGUAACGGUGAAUG
rnacentral:rRNA from 1 species